rnacentral:rRNA from 1 species
UACAGAGGUCUCAAGCGUUGUUCGGAUUCAUUGGGCGUAAAGGGUGCGUAGGUGGCGCCGUAAGUCGGGUGUGAAAUUUCGGAGCUUAACUCCGAAACUGCAUUCGAUACUGCGGUGCUUGAGGACUGGAGAGGAGACUGGAAUUCAUGGUGUAGCAGUGAAAUGCGUAGAGAUCAUGAGGAAGACCAGUGGCGAAGGUGGGUCUCUGGACAGUUCCUGACACUGAGGCACGAAGGCCAGGGGAGCAAACGGG